rnacentral:rRNA from 1 species
GAUGAACGCUGGCGGCGUGCUUAACACAUGCCAGUCGAACGGAAAGGCCCAAGCUUGCUUGGGUACUCGAGUGGCGAACGGGUGAGUAACACGUGGGUGAUCUGCCCUGCACUUCGGGAUAAGCCUGGGAAACUGGGUCUAAUACCGGAUAGGACCACAUUUUGGAUGGUGUGGUGGAAAGUUUUUCGGUGUGGGAUGAGCUCGCGGCCUAUCAGCUUGUUGGUGGGGUAAUGGCCUACCAAGGCGUCGACGGGUAGCCGGCCUGAGAGGGUGUACGGCCACAUUGGGACUGAGAUACGGCCCAGACUCCUACGGGAGGCAGCAGUGGGGAAUAUUGCACAAUGGGCGCAAGCCUGAUGCAGCGACGCCGCGUGGGGGAUGACGGCCUUCAGGUUGUAAACUCCUUUCGCUAGGGACGAAGCGCAAGUGACGGUACCUGGAGAAGAAGCACCGGCUAACUACGUG